ensembl:snRNA U7 U7 small nuclear RNA
UAAAAUUUGCUCUUUUAGAAUUUGUCCAGUAGGUUUCUUAUUAAAAAAAGGAGCCCCC